GACAGAGGGUGCAAACGUUGCUCGGAAUUACUGGGCGUAAAGGGCGUGUAGGCGGGAAGGCAAGUCGGGCGUGAAAGCCCCAGGCUCAACCUGGGAACUGCACCUCGAAACUGCCUUUCUUGAGUGCCGGAGAGGAAAGCGGAAUUCCUGGUGUAGAGGUGAAAUUCGUAGAUAAUCAGGAGGAACACCAGUGGCGAAGGCGGCUUUCUGGACGGUAACUGACGCUGAGACGCGAAAGCCGUGGGGAGCAAACAGG
rnacentral:rRNA from 1 species